UGCAAGUCGAGCGAAGCACUUACUUUAGAUUUCUUCGGAAUGACGAAGUUUGUGACUGAGCGGCGGACGGGUGAGUAACGCGUGGGCAACCUGCCCUGUACAGGGGGAUAACAGUUAGAAAUGACUGCUAAUACCGCAUAAGCCCACAGCUUCGCAUGAAGCAGUGGGAAAAACUCCGGUGGUACAGGAUGGGCCCGCGUCUGAUUAGCUAGUUGGUAAGGUAACGGCUUACCAAGGCGACGAUCAGUAGCCGACCUGAGAGGGUGACCGGCCACAUUGGGACUGAGACACGGCCCAAACUCCUACGGGAGGCAGCAGUGGGGAAUAUUGCACAAUGGGGGAAACCCUGAUGCAGCGACGCCGCGUGAGCGAUGAAGUAUUUCGGUAUGUAAAGCUCUAUCAGCAGGGAAGAAAGUGACGGUACCUGACUAAGAAGCCCCGGCUAACUACGUGCCAGCAGCCGCGGUAAUACGUAGGGGGCAAGCGUUAUCCGGAUUUACUGGGUGUAAAGGGAGCGUAGACGGAAGUGCAAGUCUGAAGUGAAAGCCCGGGGCUCAACCCCGGGACUGCUUUGGAAACUGUAUUUCUAGAGUGCUGGAGAGGUAAGUGGAAUUCCUAGUGUGGCGGUGAAAUGCGUAGAUAUUAGGAGGAACACCAGUGGCGAAGGCGGCUUACUGGACAGUGACUGACGUUGAGGCUCGAAAGCGUGGGGAGCAAACAGGAUUAGAUACCCUGGUAGUCCACGCCGUAAACGAUGACUACUAGGUGUCGGUGAGCAAAGCUCAUCGGUGCCGCAGCAA
rnacentral:rRNA from 1 species